CCCCAGCGCUCCCCCCGCCCUCCCGCACGGAGCCCUCCUCCUCCUCCUCCUCCUCCUCCCCGUGCUGCUGCCCCUGCCCCUCUUCUCCCUCCUCCCCCUGCUCCUCCUGCUGCCGCUCUCAGUGCCGCUCUCGCCUCGCCACCGCACGGACGGCUCCGGGGCCGGAGCGGGGGACGCGCAGGGCCGGAGCAGCGGCGGGGAGCCCCGCGGGGCGGCGCGUCAUCAACGUCAUGACUGUAAGCACAGAAGAGACUUCACUGAGAACAUUGCCUGCUGUAUCCUGAGUGAAAAGGCCUCAGCCUGCCCCGUAUCUAGCAUUCAAUUAAACUCCCAGUCACAGUCUAUAUCAAACCAUUUCAGAUCUAUCAACAGAGUAUGAGAACUCCCAACUGGUGACUAUGGAAAAUAUUUUCAUUACUGUGGUUAAUCUACAAAGGCAAAUAUUUUCAUGUUUACACUGUGAGAAACAAAAUAUCCUUAUCUCCCAAUAGAAAACAUUUGGUCUUUGUUGGAUAGAAAUGCCAUUCAGUUCCCGAACUGUUUUAAAUCCUUGCUUGUGGCUUAUCUAGUUCACUGAUGCCUGUUCCAGGAAUGGGAGCAUUGCCUCCAGUACUGCUCCAUAAGCUCUUCAGUCAACUGAGGAUGUUCUCCACCUGAAGUCUCUGUUAAUCAUGAGAGAAACUAUCCCCAUUUCACAGACAUGAAUCUGAAUGUGCAGGAGUACUGAGAGCCUCGCCAGAGGCUAUACACUGAGACUCAUGGCAGAAACAGGUGACCACCUUAGCAACUCAAAGAAGAAAAACAGAACAUGUUUUUCCUUGUCCUCUGGUUUGAGUAAGAGCCUAAUUAUUUAUUCACUGCUCCAUUCUGUUCUUUGGAAAACAUUUUUCCAUCCUGUUGUAGAUUUUCCACAUACGCACUCAUUCACAAUUUGCAGAUUUGUGCUGCUGAUCCAGGCUCUGCCUGUACCACCCACCUGUAGCUCUGCAGAUCCUAAACAACUUGAGGCAUUAAUGUGGAUCCUCCAGCUCACAGGUGGUGUGGGAGCAGCUCCAAAUCCAGCAGCAACUCAGUGUCCCCUUGGGUGGUGAGGCACUGGAACAAGUUGCCCAGAGAAGGUGUGGAUGCCUCACCUCUGGAGGUGUUUAAGGCCAGGGCUAGAUGGGGCUUUGAGCAACUUGGUCUAGCACAAGGUGUCCCUGCCCAUACCAGGGGGGCUGAAAUUAGAUGGUCUUUAAGGUCCAUUCCAAUCCAAACCAUUCUGUGAUUCUGUGAUCUGAAGGGGGAAGCCUGCAAAGAUCACCACAGAGCUACCACCAGCCCACGCUCCCUGUUUUGGGCUGUUUCUCUCACACUUGUGCAUAGGAAGUAUAUCAUUACAGCCCUGGGCAUAAUAUUCAAACAAGCUUUUCAGCUGCGAUUUUAAGAGAAGCGAUUCUCAACAUUUUGCCUAUUAGUGCUAUUGCCAAAAUACCAGCUGGAGACUAGAGCCCAUUCACAACUUGUUUCUCCACCUUUUUUUUUUCUUUCUUUUUUUUUUUUUUUUAAUUUAAGGUUUUGCUGUAUUUUAUUUUUUUUGUUGUUGUGUUUUGUUUUAAGUCAACCUGUGUAGUACUAAUAAUUGUUUCCUUGUGGGACAGCGCUCCUCUCUCAGUCAUCGCCGUAGAGUUUUCAGUCCUUGCCCAUCCAAGUUGUUAAUUCUCUCUGACAUUUCCCUGUAUCUUUCUUCCAGAGAAGAAAGAGGCCAUUGAAGAAUAUCGUGCAGAGUGUCAAGCAGUUCCCAAACUGAUCCCUCAAGGCUCAGGCUGGUGAGAGGGCAGCCCAGCUCAGAGGCAGAGCCCGGCAGAGUUUGUUGAGGAACCUUUGAGCCAGCAGCAUGCCACUUGAAAAGCCUUUUUCCUUUAGACACAUUUGUGCCUUAAAUGAGUACCAAAUAUAGAACACAUUCUUUAAAAGAUACUACUUUCCCCACAUGAGGUAUCUAAAACUGUUGGAAAAAGCAAAGCUGAAAAAUACAAUGAUACCCGUUACCAUAUAUGACACACAAUUAAAUCAAAAUUCCCCCACAGCCUGACUUGGUGGCCAUAUAUGCCCUCACUUUUCUCCUCUGAGUGGGUUUACACGAUACAACUAGAUCCUCACACACGCACACAACCACUGGCAGGGCUGCUUGCAUGCCCAUUUGCCUAAAGGAAGGGGCACUUGAGAGAAUCAUUGUUAACAAAUAACAGGGAGAUAUUAACAGUGACCAAAACAACAAUAUAAAAUCCCCUUGUCCAGACUCUUCCAGUUGCUGCUACAGCUGCUGUGAUAUCUGGCAGUCACAGAAAUGGCUUCCCACAGUAUUAAUUUCUUUGUGAUGCAAAAAAUAGCACUGCUGGCUCUCCUCCUGCCCCUUCCCUUCCCAUCAGGGCUCCACACACAGCCAUAAAGGGUCUCUGGGCCCUCACUGUUCUGCCUUGUCCUAAUCUGGCUCCUAGCAGGCCCCACUGCAAGGCCGUGCCACAGACAUCACACAUGCUCCCUCACCCGGGAAGCACAACAAGAAAACAGUUUUCAAGGCUUAUGUGAUAUCUUCCAUCAGGAAAGGCUCCCAGGAAAGUGUUAAGGAUGAACAGGAGAAGGCUAAAGUCCUCCCUCCCACUACGUUUUACACACACACGCACAGUGUGAGCUCCCCUUCCCAUUCCAGGAAGUAGGCUGCCAUUUUGUGACAGCUCUUCAUCUAAAAGCCAUCUUAGCUUACUUCACACAAAUUUAAAAACAAAACAAAAACAAACAAACAAACAAAAAACAGACAAACACAAAAAC